GGCCCGAUAGUUCAACGGAUAGAACGGAGGUUUCCUAAACCUUAAAUCGUGGUUCGAUUCCACGUCGGGCUACAA
rnacentral:tRNA from 1 species